rnacentral:siRNA from 1 species
ACAACUUAUGCUAAUGGCCUA